UUUCUGUAGCUGGAAUAUGGCUCCAUCCGCCUGGAUCUGGAGUCCAGAUUCCACUCUGUAGAGAAUACAUCCCACCAGAUGACUGAGAUCUUGGAAGAGCAGAAGACAGAUGAAGGUGUAUUCAACAUGCCUCCGAGUCCCGACCUGGAGGUGGAAGCUCAUUCUUCAGAGCAGGCGUCCAAAGAGCUGCCGGGGCCUCUGAAGAAAAGACGUGGCGAGCGCAAGAAGGAGAAGCAAGACAGCCAAGAGAACGCUGGGGCCGCCGAUGUUCCCGAACAAAAAGUCAACCUCAGGGUCCGAAGGACGGUGGAGGAGCAGACCCUCACGGUUCGUGGCCCUGGGGCUCUGGGACUGCGGGAACCCCUCGUGGGACACCAUCCGAACAAUGGGGCAUACCCCGGGCCUCGCGGAGCAAGGAGAGUCAAGAAGCAAGAAUCUGACACGGUCAAUCUGGAUUUCACAUCCACCAGUGCUCAAAAGGGAGAAAAAGGCUCUCCUGGAAGCCAAGGCAGCAAAGGAGAAAAGGUACUUUUCAACCUAUUUGCACCUGUGCUGGUUGAAAAAAAGGACGUUCCCUCUGAAUCCCAGCAAAUCUUGGGAAAGUUACUUUUUUGGACUAGAACCCCAGAUUACAGAGGACAUGCUGGCUGGAUGUUUUCCAGAAGUUUUUGUCAUCCAAAAAA
rnacentral:lncRNA from 1 species